AGAAACUCCUACGAUUGUCUUGUCAAAACGGUCAGAGUUGAAGGACUCAAAGCAUUGUGGAAGGGAUUCUUUCCUACAUGGGCUAGGCUUGGCCCUUGGCAAUUUGUAUUCUGGGUAUCAUAUGAGAAAUUCCGACAAAUUGCUGGUCUCUCAUCAUUCUAAACAAAUUCAUCACGCUGAGUGCUGUAUAACACAGUGAAGCAAAGGUUCGAUUUUCAAAUUUUGUUCCCUUUGAUUGAUCUUGAGUUAUAUCUAUGUUGUAUCUUAGUGUGUGUUGAGAAGCCAAGUGUGCU
rnacentral:misc_RNA from 1 species